UACGUAGGGUGCGAGCGUUAAUCGGAAUUACUGGGCGUAAAGUGUGCGCAGGCGGCAGAGCAAGUCGAGUGUGAAAGCCCCGGGCUUAACUUGGGAAUUGCGCUCGAAACUACUUUGCUGGAGUGUGGCAGAGGAAGGUGGAAUUCCACGUGUAGCGGUGAAAUGCGUAGAGUUGUGGAGGAACACCAAUGGCGAAGGCAGCCUUCUGGGCCAACACUGACGCUCAUGCACGAAAGCGUGGGGAGCAAACAGG
rnacentral:rRNA from 1 species